rnacentral:rRNA from 1 species
UAAUACGGAGGGUCCGAGCGUUAAUCGGAAUUACUGGGCGUAAAGCGUACGUAGGUGGCUUGAUUAGUCGGAUGUGAAAGCCCUGGGCUCAACCUGGGAACUGCAUUCGAUACUGUCAGGCUAGAGUAUAGUAGAGGCAAGUGGAAUUCCGGGUGUAGCGGUGAAAUGCGUAGAUAUCCGGAGGAACACCAGUGGCGAAGGCGGCUUGCUGGACUAAUACUGACACUGAGGUACGAAAGCGUGGGGAGCAAACAGGAUUAGAUACCCUGGUAGUCCACGCCCUAAACGAUGUCAACUAGCCGUUGGAGGAAUUUAAUCCUUUAGUAGCGCAGCUAACGCGAUAAGUUGACCGCCUGGGGAGUACGGUCGCAAGAUUA